GAGGAGAGUUCUCGGUCUCGGUUCGCCGUGUACUGGGACACUCGAAUCUUUUUUCUGGGGAAACGAGGUGCCUUAACUGUGUGCCUCGGGGAACCAGGACGAUUACCUUGAGAAAAAUAGAGUGUUCAAAGCAGGCAAUCCGCUUGAAUACGUUAGCAUGGAAUAAUAAAAUAGGACUUUGGUUCUAUUUUGUUGGUUUUAAGGACCGAUGUC
rnacentral:rRNA from 1 species